rnacentral:rRNA from 1 species
UGAGGAAUAUUGGGCAAUGGAGGCAACUCUGACCCAGCCAUGCCGCGUGCAGGAAGACAGCCCUAUGGGUUUUAAACUGCUUUUAUACAGGGCGAAUUCUGUUACGUGUAACAGGUUGACGGUACUGUAUGAAUAAGGAUCGGCUAACUCCGUGCCAGCAGCCGCGGUAAUACGGAGGAUCCGAGCGUUAUCCGGAUUUAUUGGGUUUAAAGGGUGCGUAGGCGGUUCAUUAAGUCAGUGGUGAAAUCAUCGGGCUCAACCCGGUCAUUGCCAUUGAUACUGGUAGACUUGAGUACAGAUGACGUAGGCGGAAUUGGACAAGUAGCGGUGAAAUGCAUAGAUAUGUCCAAGAACACCGAUUGCGAAGGCAGCUUACGAAACUGUAACUGACGCUGAUGCA